rnacentral:rRNA from 1 species
AGCGCGCGCAGGCGGUCUGUCAUGUCGGAUGUGAAAUCCCCGGCCUCUCCCUGGGAACUGCAUUCUAAACUGGCAGGCUAGAGUCUUGUAGAGGGGGGUGGAAUUCCCGGUGUAGCGGUGAAAUGCGUAGAGAUCUGGAGGAAUACCGGUGGCGAAGGCGGCCCCCUGGACUGAGACUGACGCUCAGGUGCGAAAGCGUGGGGAGCAAACAGGAUUAGAUACCCUGGUAGUCCACGCCGUAAACGAUGUCGAUUUGGAGGUUGUGCCCUUGAGGCGUGGCUUCCGGAGCUAACGCGUUAAAUCGACCGCCUGGGGAGUACGGCCGCAAGGUUAAAACUCAAAUGAAUUGACGGGGGCCCGCACAAGCGGUGGAGCAUGUGGUUUAAUUCGAUGCAACGCGAAGAACCUUACCUGGUCUUGACAUCCACAGAACUUUCCAGAGAUGCAUUGGUGCCUUCGGGAACUGUGAGACAGGUGCUGCAUGGCUGUCGUCAGCUCGUGUUGUGAAAUGUUGGGUUAAGUCCCGUAACGAGCGCAACCCUUAUCCU